CGAAAGCGUGGGGAGCAAACAGGAUUAGAUACCCUGGUAGUCCACGCCGUAAACGAUGUCUACUAGCCGUUGGGACUCUUGAAGUCUUAGUGGCGCAGCUAACGCACUAAGUAGACCGCCUGGGGAGUACGGCCGCAAGGUUAAAACUCAAAUGAAUUGACGGGGGCCCGCACAAGCGGUGGAGCAUGUGGUUUAAUUCGACGCAACGCGAAGAACCUUACCUGGCCUUGACAUGCAGAGAACUUUCCAGAGAUGGAUUGGUGCCUUCGGGAACUCUGACACAGGUGCUGCAUGGCCGUCGUCAGCUCGUGUCGUGAGAUGUUGGGUUAAGUCCCGUAACGAGCGCAACCCCUAUCCCUAGUUGCUAGCAGUUCGGCUGAGAACUCUAGGGAGACUGCCGGUGACAAACCGGAGGAAGGUGGGGAUGACGUCAAAUCAUCAUGCCCCUUAUGAUUUGGGCUACACACGUGCUACAAUGGCAGUGACAAUGAGUUAAUCUCUAAAAGCUGUCUCAGUUCGAAUUGGGGUCUGCAACUCGACCCCAUGAAGUCGGAAUCGCUAGUAAUCGUGGAUCAGCAUGCCACGGUGAAUACGUUCCCGGGCCUUGUACACACCG
rnacentral:rRNA from 1 species